AAAAAGAUAAACCUGGUUUCGUGUCCAACGUUUAACCGUCCGUUUUAUUUGAAAAAAUUAUGAAAAAAAUUAAAAAAAACAAUUCACACAUAAAAUAUUAAUCAUGUUUUAUCAUCUAACAACAAUGAAAAUACGAAUUAUAAAAAAAAAUUCAUAUAAGACGGACAGUUAAAGUUGGACACGGAAACCUAGGAUUUGUCUUUUU
rfam:Oryza sativa Japonica Group DNA, chromosome 8, cultivar: Nipponbare, complete sequence.